rnacentral:rRNA from 1 species
GACGAACGCUGGCGGCGUGCCUAAUACAUGCAAGUAGAACGCUGAAGGAGGAGCUUGCUUCUCCGGAUGAGUUGCGAACGGGUGAGUAACGCGUAGGUAACCUGCCUGGUAGCGGGGGAUAACUAUUGGAAACGAUAGCUAAUACCGCAUAACAGUAGAUGUUGCAUGACAUUUGCUUAAAAGGUGCAAUUGCAUCACUACCAGAUGGACCUGCGUUGUAUUAGCUAGUUGGUGAGGUAACGGCUCACCAAGGCGACGAUACAUAGCCGACCUGAGAGGGUGAUCGGCCACACUGGGACUGAGACACGGCCCAGACUCCUACGGGAGGCAGCAGUAGGGAAUCUUCGGCAAUGGACGGAAGUCUGACCGAGCAACGCCGCGUGAGUGAAGAAGGUUUUCGGAUCGUAAAGCUCUGUUGUAAGAGAAGAACGAGUGUGAGAGUGGAAAGUGCACACUGUGACGGUAUCUUACCAGAAAGGGACGGCUAACUACGU